GAGGAGUGCGGCUGCUACCAUGCAGUCGAACGGAAAGGCUCACAUGCUUGCAGGGGUACUCGAGUGGCGAACGGGUGAGUAACACGUGGGUGAUCUGCCCCGCACUUCGGGAUAAGCCUGGGAAACUGGGUCUAAUACCGGAUAGGACCACGGCUUGGAGGCCGUGGUGGAAAGUUUUUUCGGUGUGGGAUGAGCUCGCGGCCUAUCAGCUUGUUGGUGGGGUAAUGGCCUACCAAGGCGUCGACGGGUAGCCGGCCUGAGAGGGUGUACGGCCACAUUGGGACUGAGAUACGGCCCAGACUCCUACGGGAGGCAGCAGUGGGGAAUAUUGCACAAUGGGCGCAAGCCUGAUGCAGCGACGCCGCGUGGGGGAUGACGGCCUUCGGGUUGUAAACUCCUUUCGCUAGGGACGAAGCGCAAGUGACGGUACCUAGAGAAGAAGCACCGGCUAACUACGUGCCAGCAGCCGCGGUAAUACGUAGGGUGCGAGCGUUGUCCGGAAUUACUGGGCGUAAAGAGCUCGUAGGUGGUUUGUCGCGUCGUUUGUGUAAGCCCGCAGCUUAACUGCGGGACUGCAGGCGAUACGGGCAUAACUUGAGUGCUGUAGGGGAGACUGGAAUUCCUGGUGUAGCGGUGGAAUGCGCAGAUAUCAGGAGGAACACCGAUUGCGAAGGCAGGUCUCUGGGCAGUAACUGACGCUGAGGAGCGAAAGCAUGGGGAGCGAACAGGAUUAGAUACCCUGGUAGUCCAUGCCGUAAACGGUGGGCGCUAGGUGUGAGUCCCUUCCACGGGGUUCGUGCCGUAGCUAACGCAUUAAGCGCCCCGCCCGGGGAGUACGGCCGCAAGCUAAAGAAAAAAAAAAAAAAAAAAAAAAAGG
rnacentral:rRNA from 1 species